rnacentral:rRNA from 1 species
UACGUAGGGGGCGAGCGUUGUCCGGAUUUAUUGGGCGUAAAGCGCGCGUAGGCGGCAGCUUCAGUCGGCCGUGAAAGCGCCAGGCUUAACCUGGCGAGGUCGGGCGAUACUAGGCUGCUCGAGGCGGGCAGAGGGCAGUGGUAUUUCGGAUGGAGCGGUGGAAUGCGUAGAUCUCCGAAGGAACACCAGUGGCGAAGGCGGCACUCUGGGCUGGUACUGACGCUGAGGAGCGAAAGCGUGGGUAGCAAACAGG